rnacentral:rRNA from 1 species
UACAGAGGUUGCAAGCGUUGUUCGGAAUCAUUGGGCGUAAAGCGCGCGUAGGUGGCGCGGUAAGUCAGGUGUGAAAUUUCGGAGCUUAACUCCGAAACUGCAUUUGAUACUGCGGUGCUUGAGGACUGGAGAGGAGGCUGGAAUUUACGGUGUAGCAGUGAAAUGCGUAGAGAUCGUAAGGAAGACCAGUGGCGAAGGCAGGCCUCUGGCCAGUUCCUGACGCUGAGGUGCGAAAGCAGGGGGAGCAAACAGG